CCUGGGGGCAGAUGGCCUUUCAGCUCCCCGGCGCUGGCGGAGGGUGGGCCGCCUGGCUCCACUGUGGGCCCCGGAUAGAACCACGGAGCGCAUGACCCGGGGCCGGCCUCCUACCCCCCCUCCCCCCAGAGGGCUGUGGGACUGGGGCCACUCCCACCGCAGGGGACCCCAUUCUUCAGGUCUUGUGAACGGAGACCCCCAGGGCCCCUGAGUGCGUGUGCCCGGAAUCGGAGGAGCUUCCUUGACCCUUUGCACUCGGCCAGAACGGGAGGUAGGGGUUGGUGGUGGAGGGGCCGCCCCGCCCGUGGCUCAGCCUGCGGGGUGCAGGCAGGGCUGUGUGCGGGUCGUAAGGACCGCCGGGUUCAGACAGGAAAGUAGAGUUUCCUGCGAGCCGGCAGGUAGCCCUCUGCACCCCGGCCCCUCCUCCGGGGUCCGCCCCCCGCCCCGUUUCGCUGAAUGUCCGCCUUGUAAACGUCCCCAGCGUGAGCCCCAGGGGCUGGGCGGCAGAGAGGGGACGCAGCCCACCUUGAUGCCACCCCAUCCCUGGUGCUGCAGGAAGUCCACCGGCGACAGGGCCCCGGCCUUGGAAGGGAACCGCAGGAGGAAUUCCAGCUCUACCGGGUUCAGCUCCUUCUUCAUGGACAAGACCUGGGGGGACACAGGGGCCGCUCAGACGUCAGCCCACAACAGCAGUCCCUGGCAGGAGCACCUGGGACCUCGGUCACAGACGUACAGACAGACGCAGGGCAGGCCGAGGAGCUCACACCCCUGGCCUGUGGGGGGAGCACCGUCCUGCCCUCUGGGUCCGGGCAAGACUUUCUUUUCACCUUGACUUGGUGAUUUUUUAAAUUGUGGUAAAAUACACAGGACACAAAAUGUACCGCCUUACCCCUAUGAAAGCGUAAAAUUUUCGUAAAAUCGUAUCACCUCUAUCUAGAAGCAGAGCUUUCUCUUCUUCUCAAAGGGAACCCCUGACCCUGUGCACAGCAACCCCCUCCCCCCCAGCAGGGGCCACUGGUGACCCCAGGGUCUAUGCUCUGUCUGGAUCUGCCCGUGCAGUGGAAUCCUGCAGAUGUGGCCCGCUCCCGUCAGCUUCUCUCUCUGUCCUCCAGGUUCACCCACAUUGUAGCCAAAUGAUGUUCCGUCGUGUGGAGAGACCACGUGUGGUUUAUCCACUCAUCCUCUGAUGGACGUUUGGGCCACAUCCACCUCGUGGCGAUUAUCAGCAGAGCUGCUGUGUUCGUAUACAAAAGAGAAACUCCUUUGGAAAUUUAGGACGAGCAUCAAGUAUCCUGCUGCCCCCCUCCGCGGGGAGAAAGCGCACACCGGGCCUGCCGCUCAGGAACUCAUGCAGGUGAAGGAAAACCUCUUCGACCUGGACCCUGACUCAUAGUUUGAGUUUGGAAGGGAAGCAAACUUCCAGAAGCUAUCUAGAAAUUCGUGUUUUCUGCCACACCCACGAGACCGUGAACCAGAGGGUGGAGGGGCUGUUUGAUCGAUUUAAUGGAACAAUCCAUUUAAUGGCUGUUUGGUCAAUUUCAGCGGGUCUGUCUGUAUGAACAGGAGAACUAUUUAUCCGUCAGUAUCUUUACUUCCUUAAGAGAGAGCGUUCGGCGUCCACGGUGGUUAACCGCCCGCUGGUGCAGGACUGCUUGCUCGGCAUUAACGUAAAUGCGGGGAGAAUGAUGGGUCUUUGUAGAAUUCUCUUUAACGGACCUCCCCUCCAGUGGUUGCCACCUACAACCGUGCCCGGUGUCAACAGAACCCCAAGCAGGUCCCCCAGCGUCGUUCGAUGACUCCAACGAACGCCAUCACCCGGGAAUCUGCAUUGCGGGCCACACUCCGAGAAGGGAGGCCAGACUUGCCUGGAAGGCCACCUGGGCCAGGAAGAUGAGUUUGUCCCGUUCGAAGAGCCCUCGGGCCGUGUACAUGUAGACAGAGUAGGUGAUCUCGUCCGUCAGGUUGAUCACUCGCUGCUUGACCUCCUCGGCCGGGGCGGUCUUCUGGAUGGCUUUCUCGAACACCAUGUUGAAGGCCUGGGGAAGGGGUGCAUACAGGCUCAUGGGGCUGGAGGCCACCCCAUGCUUCCUGUGGGGGCUCCAGUUUAUUUCCGCGGCGGGUGGGGGUCUGGGGCACCUGGAGAGGAGCCCCUCCCUGGGGUGCUGGCCUGGAACAGAUCCCGUGCCCCAGCUCCCUCUUCCCACCCCUGUCUGCAGCUUGGACCCCGACUGUCCUGAUGGCUGGGGGUUCUGUGGACUCCAGGCCCCCCGCCCCGGAGCCUGGCCGCACCCACACCUUGAGCGAGAACUGAUAGAUGGGGUUGAUCUUGUUGAGGUCGUUGAGGAUGAAGUACAGCAGGGACGCCCUCUCUGCGGCUGGCCGGUAGUUCUCUCUGGCCUCGUUGAUUUUAGCCUCUGUGAUUUUUGCCUCUUGUACCUCAAAAAAAAAUGGGGCUCGAGUGGGACGAGCAGGUGGAUAGCGCCAGAGGGCAGUGGGUCCGCCCCCUGCCUGGGGGGACCCUCGGCCGGCAGCUGGCAUGCUGCUCCCUGCCUUGGGCCCCGGGGCACGCAUGGGACUGUGGCUUCUCUUUUCAGUGACCGGGGGAGGCGGCCCCCCACGGAGGCGGCCGUGGCGCUCACCUUCUCCUCGAUCUCACUGGCUGUGUGCUUGGUGGUCUCCAGAUUCUCCACUAAGGCUGUGUCCCCCAGGAAGUUCCCCGACGCCGCCGACAGACGGGCCAGCAGGGAAUCUUCCAGCUCUUUCAGAACAAUCUUGAAUUCAUUUUGAGACUUGGUGAGGUUGGCCUGCAGGAGGGACAGACCGCGGGGCUGGGGGGCGGGCUCAGGCAGCGGCCGGUGCUGCCCCCACCACUCAGUUGAGGCCCCAGCACGAACGGGAGAAGCCUGAGCCUGUCCUGGGCAGCCGUGUGUGGCCAGGGAGCAGGGCCUGGGACCGCUCUGAGCCCGCUCUGACCACGCACAGGGGCCGGCCGCAAAGGCCAUGCUGCUGGGGCAGCGGUUUGGCACAUGCAGCCAUCUGGGCACCGCUGAGGCUCCUCUGCUGUCAGUGAAUUAGUCAUCUGGUCUGGAAUUCGGUUCGGGAGGCCGCCGGGGAGGAAGAGCGGCUCGUUCUGGUGCACCUAAUGCCAUCGGUGCGACAGGCUGGGCUGCUUUGGGGUGGCCGCUGCUGGGUCAGAGAACCUCGCUGUGACUGAACAGCCCGCCCCGAGCCACGUGGGGCUGACGUCAGGCCCCGGUACCUUCAGCUGCUCGAGAUCCGGGCGCUCCUUGGCCACCACGGCAGCCAGGAGUUGGUCCUCGAGCCCGUCCCUGGUGACCAGGAAGUUGAUGAGGGUGCACUGGGCUUGCACCUCGGGCUUGUAGUGCGGGUUGAAGUACUUGGUGUGCAGGAUGAGGCGGAACUUGGGGUGAUACUCCACCUCCUUGUCGCCGAUCUUAAUGAACCUGGCCGUGAGGGGAGGCCCGUUAGAGCUGCGGAGCACCCACAGAGACCACCUCCCAUAGCAGCCUGGCGGCCCCCUUGCCCCGGGCCCCACUGCCACCACCAACCCUCCUCGGGUCACCAGGAAAGGGCUGUGUCUCUGCUCGUUCCAGUCUUUCUCUCUGGCCUGUGGUCAGGACCUUCUAGAAGGUGCGCCUGCUCUCUCUCCGGCUGGUUUGUGCCGAUCUUUAUAGCGGGGAUCGCGGGGCUUGGUCAACUCUAGCGACACUUUGUACUCCCCCGGGAACUGGCACAGAACUACUCCGUCUGGGCCCCACCCCAGAGCCACGAACACCAGAAGGACACUGACGUCCCAAUUCAGAACACCGUUACGUUCUGGAAGCUCCCCCGGGGGUGGGGGGAGUCUGAGAACAGCCAGGGCCAGAACCUGGUCUGCUGAUCCACUGUGGGGGGACCUCUUCUCUCUGCUCCCCUUCUUUCUGGUUGAGCUCACUGCUUUGGAGGCUUCUAACUUCAACUCUCGGGUACCACCACUCAUACCAAGCUCUUUUCAGAGGCUAGGACGUCAGCAUAUUUGUUUGUUACCUCUGUUCUGGGCUUCUGCACUCACCCCUGCAUUGAAGGGUGGCCCCUAACACCUUUGACGUUUACAUUUUCAAAGUUGACUUAAUUAAAAUUUUUUUAAUGUUUAUUUUUGAGAGAGAGAGAGAAACACCGACUGAGCCACCCAGACACCCCUAAUAUUUUUUAUAUUAGAAAAGUGAUACCAGCUCAGUGCAUCAACCAGUGAAUGGAGGAACCGAGUGAGGCACAGCCACACUGCGGACGGUUACUCAGCAGUAAGAACGAUGAGGUCCUGACGCACUACUGAGCACAGCUCAGGGAAAGCGACCAGACCCAAAAGAGCCACGCCACAGGACUCCCUUUAUGUGAAAUCCACGGAGCUGGAGGGCACAGUGGUGGGCACCAGGGCCUGGCUGGUGGGGGGGAAUAGGGAGAGACUGCUUCGUGAGUACGGGGUCUCUAUCUGGAGGGACGCAAGUGUCCUGGAACCAGACAGGGGUGAUGCUUGCAAAACACUGUGAACGCACUCAGUGCCACUGAAUCGUUCACUUUAAAAUGGCUAAUUUGGGGGGGCGCCUGGGUGGCUCAGUAGGUUAAGCGUCCCACUUCGGCUCAGGUCAUGAUCUCGCGUGAUCUCACGUGAUCUCGCGUGAGUUCGGGCCCCGCGUCGGGCUCUGUGCUGACAGCUCAGAGCCCGGAGCCUGCUUCGGAUUCUGUGUCUCCCUUUCCCUGUUCCUGCCCCACUGGCACUCCAUCUCUCUUGCUUUCAAAAAUAAAGAUUAAAAAAUAAAUAAAUAAAUAAACAAACAAACAAACAAAUAAAUAAAUAAAUAAUAAAAAUAAAACGGCUAAUUUUAUGUCGAGUAGAUUUCACCUGAAUUAAAAAAAAAAAAAAAAAAGCUACUGCAG